GAAUCCUCCCUCCAGGUCACUGGGAGCUUCAAUUCCUUAGAAGAAAGAAAGAGAUGACUCCCGCUUCAUAGUCCAGGAAAAUCCCCACACACCGUGGAGGCUCUUUAAGGCGGAAGGAGGUCUGCGGGGAUGUGAGAGCUUCAUACUCAUUCCCACGACUCUGUCGCAGAAGCCAGUGUCCAUUGGCAGAAGCAACUAUCACUAUACUAUGAAGUAGCCCAAGCCCUUCACCAGAUACAGUCGCCCAGUCUUGGACCAUCCAGCCCCAAGAACCCUGAGCUAAAUAAACCUCUUUCCUUGAUAAAUUA